UUGUCUCUCUUUAGGUCGUGUUGUCUCUCUUUAGGUCGUGUUGUCUCUCUUUAGGUCGUGUUGUCUCUCUUUAGGUCGUGUUGUCUCUCUCUGUCGUGUUGUCUCUCUUUAUGUAGUGUUGUCAUCUCUAUGUAGUGUUGUCGUCUCUCUUUAUGUAGUGUUGUCUCUCUUUAUGUAGUGUUGUCUCUUUAUGUAGUGUUGUUGUCUCUCUUUAUGUAGUGUUGUGUUGUCUCUCUUUAUGUAGUGUUGUUGUCUCUCUUUAUGUAGUGUUGUCUCACUUUAUGUAGUGUUGUCCCUCUGUAUGUCGUGUUGUCGUCUCUCUUUAUGUAGUGUUGUCUCUCUUUAUGUAGUGUUGUGUUGUCUCUCUUUAUGUAGUGUUGUUGUCUCUCUUUAUGUAGUGUUGUUGUCUCUCUUUAUGUAGUGUUGUUGUCUCUCUUUAUGUAGUGUUGUGUUGUCUCUCUUUAUGUAGUGUUGUUGUCUCUCUUUAUGUAGUGUUGUCGUCUCUAUGUAUGUAGUGUUGUCGUCUCUAUGUAGUGUUGUUGUCUCUCUUUAUGUAGUGUUGUCUCUCUUUAUGUAGUGUUGUUGUCUCUCUUUAUGUAGUGUUGUUGUCUCUCUUUAUGUAGUGUUGUGUUGUCUCUCUUUAUGUAGUGUUGUCUCUUUAUGUAGUGUUGUGUUGUCUCUCUUUAGGUCGUGUUGUCUCUUUAUGUAGUGUAGUGUUGUCUCUAUGUAGUGUUGUCUCUCUUUAUGUAGUGUUGUGAUGUCUCUAUUUAUGUAGUGUUGUUGUCUCUCUUUAUGUAGUGUUGUGUUGUCUCUCUUUAUGUAGUGUUGUUGUCUCUCUUUAUGUAGUGUUGUCUCUCUGUAUGUAGUGUUGUCUCUCUUUAUGUAGUGUAGUGAUGUCUCUCUUUAUGUUGUGUUGUGGUGUCUCUCUUUAUGUAGUGUUGUCUCUCUUUAUGUAGUGUUGUCUCUCUUUAUGUAGUGUUGUCUCUCUUUAUGUAGUGUAGUGUUGUCUCUCUUUAUGUAGUGUAGUGUUGUCUCUAUUUAUGUAGUGUUGUCUCUAUGUAGUGUAGUGUUGUCUCUCUUUAUGUAGUGUUGUUGUCUCUUUAUGUAGUGUUGUCUCUCUUUAUGUAGUGUAGUGUUGUCUCUCUUUAUGUAGUGGUGUCUCUCUUUAUGUAGUGUUGUUGUCUCUCUUUAUGUAGUGUUGUCUCUCUUUAUGUAGUGUAGUGUUGUCUCUCUUUAUGUAGUGUUGUGUUGUCUCUCUUUAUGUAGUGUUGUCGUCUCUCUUUAUGUAGUGUAGUGUUGUCUCUCUUUAUGUAGUGUUGUGUUGUCUCUCUUUAUGUAGUGUUGUCUCUCUUUAUGUGGUGUUGUCUCUCUGUAUGUAGUGUUGUCUCUCUGUAUGUAGUGUAGUGAUGUCUCUAUUUAUGUAGUGUUGUUGUCUCUCUUUAUGUAGUGUUGUCUCUCUUUAUGUAGUGUUGUCUCUCUUUAUGUAGUGUUGUCUCUCUUUGUGUAGUGUUGUCUCUCUUUGUGUAGUGUAGUGAUGUCUCUCUUUAUGUAGUGUUGUUGUCUCUCUUUAUGUAGUGUUGUCUCUCUUUAUGUAGUGUUGUCUCUCUUUAUGUAGUGUUGUCUCUCUUUAUGUAGUGUUGUCUCUCUGUAUGUAGUGUUGUCUCUCUUUAUGUAGUGUUGUCUCUCUGUAUGUAGUGUUGUCUCUCUUUAUGUAGUGUUGUCUCUCUUUAUGUAGUGUAGUGGUGUUGUCUCUCUUUAUGUAGUGUUGUUGUCUCUCUGUAGUGUUGUCUCUCUUUAUGUAGUGUAGUGAUGUCUCUCUUUAUGUUGUGUUGUGUUGUCUCUCUUUAUGUAGUGUUGUUGUCUCUCUUUAUGUAGUGUUGUCUCUCUUUAUGUAGUGUUGUUGUCUCUCUUUAUGUAGUGUAGUGUUGUCUCUCUUUAUGUAGUGUUGUCUCUCUUUAUGUAGUGUAGUGUUGUUGUCUCUCUUUAUGUAGUGUAGUGUUGUCUCUCUGUAUGUAGUGUUGUCUCUCUUUAUGUAGUGUAGUGUUGUCUCUCUUUAUGUAGUGUUGUGUUGUCUCUCUUUAUGUAGUGUAGUGUUGUCUCUCUUUAUGUAGUGUUGUCUCUCUUUAUGUAGUGUUGUCUCUCUUGUCGUGAUGUGUGUUCUGUCCUAUAUUUAUAUUGUAUUUAUUCAUGUAUUUAUUUA
ensembl:lncRNA